AGCCACCAGCGAGAUUCGAACUCGCGACCCCUCGUUUACGAGACCAGAGCUCUAACCUCUGAGCUAUGGUGGC
rnacentral:tRNA from 1 species